rnacentral:rRNA from 1 species
GGGUUGUGAGGUUAAGCGACUAAGCGUACACGGUGGAUGCCCUGGCAGUCAGAGGCGAUGAAGGACGUGCUAAUCUGCGAUAAGCGCCGGUAAGGUGAUAUGAACCGUUAUAACCGGCGAUUUCCGAAUGGGGAAACCCAGUGUGAUUCGUCACACUAUCAUUAACUGAAUCCAUAGGUUAAUGAGGCGAACCGGGGGAACUGAAACAUCUAAGUACCCCGAGGAAAAGAAAUCAACCGAGAUUCCCCCAGUAGCGGCGAGCGAACGGGGAGGAGCCCAGAGCCUGAAUCAGCAUGUGUGUUAGUGGAAGCGUCUGGAAAGGCGCGCGAUACAGGGUGACAGCCCCGUACACAAAAGCGCAUGUGCUGUGAGCUCGAUGAGUAGGGCGGGACACGUGGUAUCCUGUCUGAAUAUGGGGGGACCAUCCUCCAAGGCUAAAUACUCCUGACUGACCGAUAGUGAACCAGUACCGUGAGGGAAAGGCGAAAAGAACCCCGGCGAGGGGAGUGAAAAAGAACCUGAAACCGUGUACGUACAAGCAGUGGGAGCACCCUUCGGGGUGUGACUGCGUACCUUUUGUAUAAUGGGUCAGCGACUUAUAUUCUGUAGCAAGGUUAACCGUAUAGGGGAGCCGGAGGGAAACCGAGUCUUAAUUGGGCGUUAAGUUGCAGGGUAUAGACCCGAAACCCGGUGAUCUAGCCAUGGGCAGGUUGAAGGUUGGGUAACACUAACUGGAGGACCGAACCGACUAAUGUUGAAAAAUUAGCGGAUGACCUGUGGCUGGGGGUGAAAGGCCAAUCAAACCGGGAGAUAGCUGGUUCUCCCCGAAAGCUAUUUAGGUAGCGCCUCGUGAAUUCAUCUCCGGGGGUAGAGCACUGUUUCGGCUAGGGGGCCAUCCCGGCUUACCAACCCGAUGCAAACUGCGAAUACCGGAGAAUGUUAUCACGGGAGACACACGGCGGGUGCUAACGUCCGUCGUGAAGAGGGAAACAACCCAGACCGCCAGCUAAGGUCCCAAAGUCAUGGUUAAGUGGGAAACGAUGUGGGAAGGCCCAGACAGCCAGGAUGUUGGCUUAGAAGCAGCCAUCAUUUAAAGAAAGCGUAAUAGCUCACUGGUCGAGUCGGCCUGCGCGGAAGAUGUAACGGGGCUAAACCAUGCACCGAAGCUGCGGCAGCGAACGUAUCACCCAAGACAACUUUACGGAGUUGACGAUUGACGGAGCGAAGCGACGUCAAAGCGUUCAUUAAAGUCGAGUUGGCUUAGGGAUACGUUCGUUGGGUAGGGGAGCGUUCUGUAAGCCUGUGAAGGUGUGUCGUGAGGC